UACGUAGGGAGCAAGCGUUGUCCGGAAUCAUUGGGCGUAAAGCGCGCGUAGGUGGCUUCGUAAGUCCGCUGUGAAAGUCGGGGGCUCAACCCUCGAAUGCCGGUGGAUACUGUCGGGCUAGAGUGCGGAAGAGGCGAGUGGAAUUCCUGGUGUAGCGGUGAAAUGCGCAGAUAUCAGGAGGAACACCAAUUGCGAAGGCAGUUCGCUGGGACGUAACUGACGCUGAGACGCGAAAGCGUGGGGAGCAAACAGG
rnacentral:rRNA from 1 species